rnacentral:snRNA from 1 species
AGAAUGGUUGCCCUGCACAAGGAUGAUGCACAAAUAAGUGAAGUGUUCUAUAUUUU